rnacentral:rRNA from 1 species
GUGGGGAAUAUUGGACAAUGGGGGAAACCCUGAUCCAGCGACGCCGCGUGUGUGAAGAAGGCCUGCGGGUUGUAAAGCACUUUCGGUGGGAACGAAAUAUGCCGGGCUAAUACCCCGGUAGGCUGACGUUACUCAAUGAAGAAGCACCGGCUAACUCUGUGCCAGCAGCCGCGGUAAUACAGAGGGUGCGAGCGUUAAUCGGAAUUACUGGGCGUAAAGCGCACGUAGGUGGCGACGUAAGUCGGGUGUGAAAGCCCCGGGCUCAACCUGGGAACUGCAUUCGAGACUGCAUUGCUGGAGUACGGAAGAGGAGGGCGGAAUUCCCGGUGUAGCGGUGAAAUGCGUAGAUAUCGGGAGGAACAUCAGUGGCGAAGGCGGCCCUCUGGUCCAGUACUGACACUCAAGUGCGAAAGCGUGGGGAGCAAACAGGAUUAGAAACCCUAGUAGUCC